rnacentral:tRNA from 6 species
UGGGGUAUCGCCAAGCGGUAAGGCACUAGUUUUUGGUACUGGUAUUCGGGGGUUCGAAUCCCUCUACCCCAUCCA